GUUUUAAUAAUUUAAUAAAAAUAUUGGUCUUGUAAACCAAACCUAAGGAUUAUACCUUUUAAAGCU
rnacentral:tRNA from 1 species